CCAAUGUAAACUACUGGUGCAGUUUUGGGUUUUUCUUUGGAAAGUCUUCCUGUUAAAGGGAAGCUCUUUGGGGGUUUUUUUUGUGGGUUUUUUUUUUCUCCAGUGUUACCACAGGAAUCCUCAAUAUGAGGAUUUAGCUGAUUUUGCUUUAGUCUAUUUGAUUAACCAAUGUAAACUACUGGUGCAGUUUUGGGUUUUUCUUUGGAAAGUCUUCCUGUUAAAGGGAAGGUUUUCCUUAACUGUCACCUCAUUGAGCCUCAAUAUGAGGCAUUGCUCAAGUUUAGGUAACUUAACUGUUUGAAAACUGUUUAAUUUUUUAUUUUAUUUUUUUCUAGAAAGUCUUCCUGUUAAAGGGAAGGUUGUCCUAUACACUGUACUACAUGCAUGUUCAGUCUAAGGCAUUGUCUAAGCUUAAUUUUGUAGCUUUUAACUAAUUUCAACAAUUAAAGUAUUUAUAUUCUUGGAAAAAAAAUUAAAAGGGAAGUUUUUAUUUUUCACUGUUGCCACAUGGUGCCUCAGUGAGGGGCUUUGCUUUAAAUCCCAGCUUUUCACAAAUAUUUGAUAACUAAAUUUUUUUUGUUUUUGGGAACUCUUCUUGUUAAAGGGAAGCUUCCUCUCCACAUGCAUCCAUAGUAAAUCUGUGGUGAUGGGGAAUAGUUUUGAGCUCAUGGUUGGGGAAUUUAAGGCCUUGUCAACACCGCAUGGUAUCUGGACUGAAGAUAUGGAAACUGAACAACCGUUUUUGUUGAGAUGGAGACUGUGCAGACAUGCGAUGGCUUCAGACAUUUAGGAAAUCUGGAUAUCAAAUGUGUUCUACAGUGAUGGAGAGUAGUUUUGAGUUCAUGGUUGGGAAAUUUAAGGUCUUGUUGACGCCACAUGGUAUUUGGACUGAGAAGCUAUGGAAAUUGAUCAACCAUUAUUGAGACUCUGCAGACAUGAUGGUCUCAGACUUUUGGGAAAUGUGGAUAUCAAAAUGGUCGCCAUGGUACUGGACUUUGAACCCAACAUUGGAAAAUGUGGCUUGUUUCUUGAUGCAGCCACUCCUCAGGAAUUUGAAGUCAUUGGAUGAGUUCAAGGAAAUUGGUAAACUAGUGCAACAAAGCGGUCAAGCCAUUACACGGAGGAAAAUCGGUAUGUGAAAGAUGGCUGUUCUGAUCAUUGGUAUGGUAACUGGAAUGGACUUUGGAUUCACUCGGCGCAUAAACACGGUAGGCUAUAUAAAAUGCAGGUGUUCUGAUUUUGGGUACAGCAAUCAGAACAGAUCUUGGAGACGCAGGAAAAACACGGUAGGAUAUAUGAAAUGUAUGUGUUCUGAACAUGAAUAUGGUAACUGGAAUGGAUUUUGGAUUAACUUCUGAUCUUGGGUAAUGUUUGAAAUGCAUGUUAUGUCAAAGUAUUGGAAAUGUGUGUAAAAUGCUUCAUCACUUCAGAUGACACCCCCGGACUACACGUGAGAACGACGGGACGGAAAAUGCCAUCAACGAACAGAAAAGGCUUUCUUCACCCCUCAUUAAGGUCGUCUCUGGUGAUGGAUGACCUUAAUGACCCCCACCACAGGGCUGAGCAGUCUUCCAUGAGGUAUUCUCCUGGAUUCUCCCGUCUUAAUCGACCCUCUGACAGAUGGAAAAGGCCUUCUUGGCCCCCCGACCCUUGCUGAUGGAUGACCUUAGUGAGCCUACCACUGAUCUAAACAACUUUUCUCAAGGAAUGCUGCAGGAAUCCUCCUGGACCAUCUUUUUCCAUCUGACUUCACCCUUCAUCAACCGGAGAAGUUCAUCAUUCUCCUGAACAUCGGACAGAAGAGGACUUCACCCCCCAUUGGAUGACCUUAGUGACCCUACCAUUGACCUCAACAGCCUUUCUUUUUUACAGCAGGAAUCAUCCUGGAUCAUCUUUUCAUCUGAUUUUGCCAUUCAUCACCAGGCCCCAACCACAGAUGGAAAUGGAUUUCAUCGCCAUGGACAGAAGGAGAACUUUGUUUAUAGACUCUUUGCAGACUUCAUUUUAUUUGUUUUGGAUAUUUAAAAUGUUUUCCAGUGUUAAAUGUUAGAAUCCAUUGUUUAUCAGUCUGUUAGAAUGUGUUUUUGCAUUUUUAUGGACCACCACAUUAUUUAUUUCAACUAUUUGUUUAUUCUCUCCAUAGAAGCUACACUUGAUUUGGUGUUAUUAUUGGCUGUGGUC